UACGGAGGGUCCAAGCGUUAUCCGGAAUCAUUGGGUUUAAAGGGUCCGUAGGCGGUUUAGUAAGUCAGUGGUGAAAGCCCAUCGCUCAACGGUGGAACGGCCAUUGAUACUGCUAGACUUGAAUUAUUAGGAAGUAACUAGAAUAUGUAGUGUAGCGGUGAAAUGCUUAGAGAUUACAUGGAAUACCAAUUGCGAAGGCAGGUUACUACUAGUGGAUUGACGCUGAUGGACGAAAGCGUGGGGAGCGAACAGG
rnacentral:rRNA from 1 species